ACAACGACCGUACCGCAAACCGACACUGGUGCGCGAGAUGAGUAUUCUAAGGCGCUUGAGAGAACUCAGGAGAAGGAACUCGGCAAAUUGACACCGUAACUUCGGAAGAAGGUGUGCCCUAUUAGUGUGAAGUGAACAACGGAGCAUGAAUGGGUUGCAAAAAAUCGGUGGCUGCGACUGUUUAUUAAAAACACAGCACUCUGCAAACACGAAAGUGGACGUAUAGGGUGUGACGCCUGCCCGGUGCUGGAAGAUUAAAUGAUGGGGUGCAAGCUCUUGAUUGAAGUCCCAGUAAACGGCGGCCGUAACUAUAACGGUCCUAAGGUAGCGAAAUUCCUUGUCGGGUAAGUUCCGACCUGCACGAAUGGCGUAACGAUGGCCACACUGUCUCCUCCUGAGACUCAGCGAAGUUGAAAUGUUUGUGAUGAUGCAAUCUCCCCGCGGAAAGACGGAAAGACCCCAUGAACCUUUACCGUAGCUUUGUAUUGGACUUUGAACAGAUCUGUGUGGGAUAGGUGGGAGGCUUUGAAGCAGGGUCGCUAGAUCUUGUGGAGCCAACGUUGAAAUACCACCCUGGUGUGUUUGAGGUUCUAACCUAGGUCCAUUAUCUGGAUCGGGGACAGUGCAUGGUAGGCAGUUUGACUGGGGCGGUCUCCUCCCAAAGCGUAACGGAGGAGUUCGAAGGUACGCUAGUUACGGUCGGACAUCGUGACGAUAGUGCAAUGGCAUAAGCGUGCUUAACUGCGAGACUGACAAGUCGAGCAGAUGCGAAAGCAGGACAUAGUGAUCCGGUGGUUCUGUAUGGAAGGGCCAUCGCUCAACGGAUAAAAGGUACUCUGGGGAUAACAGGCUGAUACCGCCCAAGAGUUCAUAUCGACGGCGGUGUUUGGCACCUCGAUGUCGGCUCAUCUCAUCCUGGGGCUGUAGCCGGUCCCAAGGGUAUGGCUGUUCGCCAUUUAAAGAGGUACGUGAGCUGGGUUUAAAACGUCGUGAGACAGUUUGGUCCCUAUCUUCCGUGGGCGCUGCAGAUUUGAGGAAGCCUGCUCCUAGUACGAGAGGACCGGAGUGGACACACCUCUGGUGUAUCGGUUGUCACGCCAGUGGCAUUGCCGAGUAGCUAAGUGUGGAAGAGAUAACCGCUGAAAGCAUCUAAGCGGGAAACUCGUUUCAAGAUGAGAUCUGCCGGGGCCUUGAGCCCCCUGAAGAGUCGUUCAAGACCAGGACGUUGAUAGGUCAGGUGUGGAAGCGCAGUAAUGCGUUAAGCUAACUGAUACUAAUUGCUCGUGCGGCUUGACC
rnacentral:rRNA from 1 species